rnacentral:rRNA from 1 species
UACGUAGGGGGCAAGCGUUGUCCGGAUUUAUUGGGCGUAAAGAGCGUGUAGGCGGCCAGACAGGUCCGUUGUGAAAACUCGAGGCUCAACCUCGAGACGCCGAUGGAAACCGUCUGGCUAGAGUCCGGAAGAGGAGAGUGGAAUUCCGUGGAUGUAGCGGUGAAAUGCGCAGAUAGUCAGGAAGAACACCCGUGGCUAAGGCGGCUCUCUAGUACGGUACUGACGCUGAGACGCGAAAGCGUGGGGAGCGAACAGG